AACGAACGCUGGCGGCAGGCUUAACACAUGCAAGUCGAACGAGAUCUUCGGAUCUAGUGGCGAACGGGUGAGUAACGCGUGGGCAAUCUGCCCUCUAGAUGGGGACAACAUUCCGAAAGGAGUGCUAAUACCGAAUGUGUUCAGUGAGUUGCAUAACUUGCUGACGAAAGAUGGCCUCUAUUUAUAAGCUAUCGCUAGAGGAUGAGCCUGCGUCUGAUUAGCUAGUUGGUGAGGUAAUGGCUCACCAAGGCGACGAUCAGUAGCCGGUCUGAGAGGAUGAACGGCCACACUGGGACUGAGACACGGCCCAGACUCCUACGGGAGGCAGCAGUGGGGAAUCUUCCGCAAUGGACGAAAGUCUGACGGAGCAACGCCGCGUGAACGAAGAAGGCCUUCGGGUCGUAAAGUUCUGUUGUUAGGGAAGAAUGUGCUUCUUGUAAAUAAUGAGAAGUAAUGACGGUACCUAAAGAGGAAGCCACGGCUACCUACGUGCCAGCCGCCGCCGUAA
rnacentral:rRNA from 1 species